UCGAACGAGAAAGUGGAGCAAUCCAUGAGUACAGUGGCGUACGGGUGAGUAACACGUGGAUAACCUGCCCUUUAGUGGGGAAUACCGUUGGGAAACCGACGACAAUACCGCAUAAGCUCGAGAGAGGAAAGCAGCAAUGCGCUGAAGGAAGGGUCCGCGGCCGAUUAGCUAGUUGGUAGGGUAAUGGCCUACCAAGGCUGUGAUCGGUAGCCGGCCUGAGAGGGCACACGGCCACACUGGCACUGAAACACGGGCCAGACUCCUACGGGAGGCAGCAGUGGGGAAUCUUGCACAAUGGGGGCAACCCUGAUGCAGCGACGCCGCGUGAGCGAUGAAGCCCUUCGGGGUGUAAAGCUCUUUCGGCAGGGAAGAUUAUGACGGUACCUGCAGAAGCAGCUGCGGCUAACUACGUGCCAGCAGCCGCGGUAAUACGUAGGCAGCAAGCGUUGUUCGGAGUUACUGGGCGUAAAGGGUGCGUAGGCGGUUCUGUAAGUAUGGUGUGAAAUCUCCCGGCUUAACUGGGAGGGUGCGCUAUAAACUGCGGGACUAGAGUGUGGGAGAGGAAAGUGGAAUUCCUGGUGUAGCGGUGAAAUGCGUAGAUAUCAGGAGGAACACCGGUGGUGUAAACGGCUUUCUGGACCAUAACUGACGCUGAGGCACGAAAGCGUGGGUAGCAAACAGGAUUAGAUACCCUGGUAGUCCACGCCCUAAACGAUGCAUAUUUGGUGUGGGUCAUUCAGUUGAUCCGUGCCGGAGCUAACGCGUUAAAUAUGCCGCCUGGGGAGUACAGUCGCAAGGC
rnacentral:rRNA from 1 species